rnacentral:rRNA from 2 species
GCGUGAGUGAAGAAGGCUCUUUCCGGCGUUCUGUAAAGCUACUUGUUUGUUGGGAAGAACAGGAGUGAGAGUAACUGUUCAGCGCCAUUGACGGUAUUUAACCAGAAAGCCACGGCUAACUACGUGCCAGCAGCCGCGGUAAUACGUAGGUGGCAAGCGUUAUCCGGAUUUAUUGGGCGUAAAGCGAGCGCAGGCGGUUUUUUAAGUCUGAUGUGAAAUCCUUCGGCUCAACCGGAGAACUGCAUCUGAAACUGGCAAACUUGAGUGCCGAAGAGGGGGGUGGAACUCCAUGUGUAGCGGUGAAAUGCGUAGAUAUAUGGAAGAACACCAGUGGCGAAGGCGGCCCCCUGGUCUAAAACUGACGCUCAGGCUCGAAAGCAUGGGUAGCAAACAGGAUAGAUACCUGG